rnacentral:rRNA from 1 species
GGGUUGUGAGGUUAAGCGACUAAGCGUACACGGUGGAUGCCCUGGCAGUCAGAGGCGAUGAAGGACGUGCUAAUCUGCGAUAAGCGUCGGUAAGGUGAUAUGAACCGUUAUAACCGGCGAUUUCCGAAUGGGGAAACCCAGUGUGAUUCGUCACACUAUCAUUAACUGAAUCCAUAGGUUAAUGAGGCGAACCGGGGGAACUGAAACAUCUAAGUACCCCGAGGAAAAGAAAUCAACCGAGAUUCCCCCAGUAGCGGCGAGCGAACGGGGAGCAGCCCAGAGCCUGAAUCAGUGUGUGUGUUAGUGGAAGCGUCUGGAAAGGCGCGCGAUACAGGGUGACAGCCCCGUACACAAAAAUGCACAUGCUGUGAGCUCGAUGAGUAGGGCGGGACACGUGGUAUCCUGUCUGAAUAUGGGGGGACCAUCCUCCAAGGCUAAAUACUCCUGACUGACCGAUAGUGAACCAGUACCGUGAGGGAAAGGCGAAAAGAACCCCGGCGAGGGGAGUGAAAAAGAACCUGAAACCGUGUACGUACAAGCAGUGGGAGCACGCUUAGGCGUGUGACUGCGUACCUUUUGUAUAAUGGGUCAGCGACUUAUAUUCUGUAGCAAGGUUAACCGAAUAGGGGAGCCGAAGGGAAACCGAGUCUUAACUGGGCGUUAAGUUGCAGGGUAUAGACCCGAAACCCGGUGAUCUAGCCAUGGGCAGGUUGAAGGUUGGGUAACACUAACUGGAGGACCGAACCGACUAAUGUUGAAAAAUUAGCGGAUGACUUGUGGCUGGGGGUGAAAGGCCAAUCAAACCGGGAGAUAGCUGGUUCUCCCCGAAAGCUAUUUAGGUAGCGCCUCGUGAAUUCAUCUCCGGGGGUAGAGCACUGUUUCGGCAAGGGGGUCAUCCCGACUUACCAACCCGAUGCAAACUGCGAAUACCGGAGAAUGUUAUCACGGGAGACACACGGCGGGUGCUAACGUCCGUCGUGAAGAGGGAAACAACCCAGACCGCCAGCUAAGGUCCCAAAGUCAUGGUUAAGUGGGAAACGAUGUGGGAAGGCCCAGACAGCCAGGAUGUUGGCUUAGAAGCAGCCAUCAUUUAAAGAAAGCGUAAUAGCUCACUGGUCGAGUCGGCCUGCGCGGAAGAUGUAACGGGGCUAAACCAUGCACCGAAGCUGCGGCAGCGACGCUGAUGCGUUGUUGGGUAGGGGAGCGUUCUGUAAGCCUGCGAAGGUGUGCUGUGAGGCAUGCUGGAGGUAUCAGAAGUGCGAAUGCUGACAUAAGUAACGAUAAAGCGGGUGAAAAGCCCGCUCGCCGGAAGACCAAGGGUUCCUGUCCAACGUUAAUCGGGGCAGGGUGAGUCGACCCCUAAGGCGAGGCCGAAAGGCGUAGUCGAUGGGAAACAGGUUAAUAUUCCUGUACUUGGUGUUACUGCGAAGGGGGGACGGAGAAGGCUAUGUUGGCCGGGCGACGGUUGUCCCGGUUUAAGCGUGUAGGCUGGUUUUCCAGGCAAAUCCGGAAAAUCAAGGCUGAGGCGUGAUGACGAGGCACUACGGUGCUGAAGCAACAAAUGCCCUGCUUCCAGGAAAAGCCUCUAAGCAUCAGGUAACAUCAAAUCGUACCCCAAACCGACACAGGUGGUCAGGUAGAGAAUACCAAGGCGCUUGAGAGAACUCGGGUGAAGGAACUAGGCAAAAUGGUGCCGUAACUUCGGGAGAAGGCACGCUGAUAUGUAGGUGAAGUCCCUCGCGGAUGGAGCUGAAAUCAGUCGAAGAUACCAGCUGGCUGCAACUGUUUAUUAAAAACACAGCACUGUGCAAACACGAAAGUGGACGUAUACGGUGUGACGCCUGCCCGGUGCCGGAAGGUUAAUUGAUGGGGUUAGCGCAAGCGAAGCUCUUGAUCGAAGCCCCGGUAAACGGCGGCCGUAACUAUAACGGUCCUAAGGUAGCGAAAUUCCUUGUCGGGUAAGUUCCGACCUGCACGAAUGGCGUAAUGAUGGCCAGGCUGUCUCCACCCGAGACUCAGUGAAAUUGAACUCGCUGUGAAGAUGCAGUGUACCCGCGGCAAGACGGAAAGACCCCGUGAACCUUUACUAUAGCUUGACACUGAACAUUGAGCCUUGAUGUGUAGGAUAGGUGGGAGGCUUUGAAGUGUGGACGCCAGUCUGCAUGGAGCCGACCUUGAAAUACCACCCUUUAAUGUUUGAUGUUCUAACGUGGACCCGUAAUCCGGGUUGCGGACAGUGUCUGGUGGGUAGUUUGACUGGGGCGGUCUCCUCCUAAAGAGUAACGGAGGAGCACGAAGGUUGGCUAAUCCUGGUCGGACAUCAGGAGGUUAGUGCAAUGGCAUAAGCCAGCUUGACUGCGAGCGUGACGGCGCGAGCAGGUGCGAAAGCAGGUCAUAGUGAUCCGGUGGUUCUGAAUGGAAGGGCCAUCGCUCAACGGAUAAAAGGUACUCCGGGGAUAACAGGCUGAUACCGCCCAAGAGUUCAUAUCGACGGCGGUGUUUGGCACCUCGAUGUCGGCUCAUCACAUCCUGGGGCUGAAGUAGGUCCCAAGGGUAUGGCUGUUCGCCAUUUAAAGUGGUACGCGAGCUGGGUUUAGAACGUCGUGAGACAGUUCGGUCCCUAUCUGCCGUGGGCGCUGGAGAACUGAGGGGGGCUGCUCCUAGUACGAGAGGACCGGAGUGGACGCAUCACUGGUGUUCGGGUUGUCAUGCCAAUGGCACUGCCCGGUAGCUAAAUGCGGAAGAGAUAAGUGCUGAAAGCAUCUAAGCACGAAACUUGCCCCGAGAUGAGUUCUCCCUGACUCCUUGAGAGUCCUGAAGGAACGUUGAAGACGACGACGUUGAUAGGCCGGGUGUGUAAGCGCAGCGAUGCGUUGAGCUAACCGGUACUAAUGAACCGUGAGGCUUAACCUUACAACGCCGAAG